CAACUACACCCUCUGUCCCUGUCUUAGAUUUUUCUAGAUUCGGAUGUAUCUAAUAAUAAAAUGUGACUUGAUACAUCCGUAUCUAGACAAAUCUAAGACAAGAAUUUUUGGACGGAGGGAGUACUUU
rfam:Triticum aestivum genome assembly, contig: Triticum_aestivum_CS42_TGACv1_scaffold_604675_7DL